ACAUCCAUGGAGCAGUAGUCUAGCUCGUUCCCUUGCUGCUAUCUGGUGUGGUGGUAGGCAUAAGGGAAAGGCCCGGGUGCGAAUCCCGGUGGAUGUG